CCCGAGGCAUGGCGCAGGCCUUUGCGUGGCCCUCGGGAUAAGUACCCGCUUCAAUGCUCGCGACGGGGAAACCAACGUGCGC
rnacentral:ribozyme from 1 species